UACGUAGGGUGCGAGCGUUAAUCGGAAUUACUGGGCGUAAAGCGUGCGCAGGCGGCUUCGCAAGUCAGACGUGAAAUCCCCGGGCUUAACCUGGGAAUGGCGUUUGAAACUACGGAGCUGGAGUGUGGCAGAGGGAGGUGGAAUUCCACGUGUAGCGGUGAAAUGCGUAGAUAUGUGGAGGAAUACCGAUGGCGAAGGCAGCCUCCUGGGCCAACACUGACGCUCAUGCACGAAAGCGUGGGGAGCAAACAGG
rnacentral:rRNA from 1 species